GAUUUAGAUAUUUAACUGAAACUUUAAUACAAUUGUUCAAACUCCUAGAGUUCUGAUAAUGCACCAAAAUUCAGAAGCUGCAAGCCUUGUUUUGUAAGGUGGAUUUUGUUGGUGUUCGGCUACAUAGUUCCAUGUGUUGCUUUUCUUUUCAAUAAGAAACUGAGAAACUACGUAAGAAAAGGAUUGAAAAAUGUGUCUCUAAGAUCUCUCAUCUAUGGUGU